rnacentral:misc_RNA from 1 species
UCGUAACAAGGUUUCCGUAGGUGAACCUGCGGAAGGAUCAUUACUGAUUUGCUUAAUUGCACCACAUGUGUUUUUCUUUGAAACAAACUUGCUUUGGCGGUGGGCCCAGCCUGCCGCCAGAGGUCUAAACUUACAACCAAUUUUUUAUCAACUUGUCACACCAGAUUAUUACUUAAUAGUCAAAACUUUCAACAACGGAUCUCUUGGUUCUCGCAUCGAUGAAGAACGCAGCGAAAUGCGAUACGUAAUAUGAAUUGCAGAUAUUCGUGAAUCAUCGAAUCUUUGAACGCACAUUGCGCCCUCUGGUAUUCCGGAGGGCAUGCCUGUUUGAGCGUCGUUUCUCCCUCAAACCGCUGGGUUUGGUGUUGAGCAAUACGACUUGGGUUUGCUUGAAAGACGGUAGUGGUAAGGCGGGAUCGCUUUGACAAUGGCUUAGGUCUAACCAAAAACAUUGCUUGCGGCGGUAACGUCCACCACGUAUAUCUCAAACU